rnacentral:rRNA from 1 species
UUCGUGCACUACACUGUGCACAUCCCGCCCACGCCGGACAGGACCACGGCGUCCGCGUCCACGAACGCGCCCGUAGCUGAGGAGGAGGGGGGUGCUUUCGGAGAGGAGCUACGUCUCCGGCACCAUCUUCACCGGCAGCCUCAACUGCGCGACGCGCGCCCACGUGCUCGGCAACUCUGCCGAUGGCGCUCGGCCGGCCGCCUCCGUCAACAUGUCUUGCAAGAUGCGCGGCUCCGACAUGCCGGCGUUGGCAGCCACCCGCCUUGUGACUGCAGCUUCAUGAUCUGUGAGGAGUGCUACAUGGACUGCGUCGCCGCCUCCGGCAACUACCCAGGCUGCAAGGAGGCCUACUCCGCCGGCAGCGACACCGACGACUCUGUCGACAAGGACGACGAUGACGCCAUCUCCUCGUCGGAGGAGAGGGACCAGAUGCCCAUGACAUCCAUGUCCAUGCGCUUCUCCAUGGUGCACUCCAUCAAAAUGCCCAUGCCCAGCAACAACGGCAAGCCGGCCGACUUCGACCACGCCCGGUGGCUCUUCGAGACCAAGGGCACCUACAGCUACGGCAACGCUCUAUGGCCCGAGAACGAGCACGGCGGCGGCGGCAACAGCGCUGGGGCCACCUCCGGAUUCGUUGGCAUUGUCAGGACCCCGAUCCUAAGUCACACCGAUCUAAGGACUCCG